UACGUAGGUGGCAAGCGUUGUCCGGAAUUAUUGGGCGUAAAGCGCGCGCAGGCGGUUCUGUAAGUCUGAUGUUAAAGCCCGAGGCUCAACCUCGGUCCGCAUUGGAAACUGCGUAACUUGAGUGCAGAAGAGGAAAGCGGUAUUCCACGUGUAGCGGUGAAAUGCGUAGAGAUGUGGAGGAACACCAGUGGCGAAGGCGGCUUUCUGGUCUGUAACUGACGCUGAGGCGCGAAAGCGUGGGGAGCAAACAGG
rnacentral:rRNA from 1 species